GUGCCCCUGAGACCUUGCUCCCAUCUUUGUUUUCCUACAGUAGGUUACCAUUUCCUUGCUAAAAGCUGGCACAAGAUCACUGAAAUUUAUUUUCAUUGAUUGCUUAGCUGGCAGAGAUCCAUUUAAAAGGUGAACUAGUCAGGUUACAGUAAUGAAAACACAAAGUUAAGGUGGGUUUUUGAAAUGGAGAAAUACGUACGUAGGUAUUGGAAAUCUGAAAGAGCAAAAAUAACAACAGGCCAUAGCUAUUGGCUUUAGGUUGGGAAAACAAAGGGCAAAAGGUUAUAUUACCAGAACUUCAGAGUACAGAGUAGGGGUCACUACAUAUAGAGUCUGCCAAAAAAAUGUGUACACCUUUUAGGAAAAGAUAAACUUGUAUAAAUAUUCUAAUACUAAGUUUAUUGGAACAUAAGGAUUUUUUUUUUUUUUGGCAGACUCUGGAGUUGUUGUAGAGAUUUAGAAGAAGCAACCAUGAACUUGCUGCUAGGAGUGCUGAAAAAUAGUGGAGCCAUAGCUGUGUGCUGCUACGGAAUGAUGCCUCUUUCCCUUGGACUUUCUCAAAUGUUUCAGUUCUAAAACUGCC
rnacentral:lncRNA from 1 species